GAUGAACGCUGGCGGCGUGCUUAACACAUGCAAGUCGAACGGUGAAGGCGGAGCUUGCUCUGCUGGACCAGUGGCGAACGGGUGAGUAACACGUGAGCAAUCUGCCCCUGACUCUGGGAUAAGCGCUGGAAACGGCGUCUAAUACUGGAUCCGAGCGGCGAAGGCAUCUUCAGCAGCUGGAAAGAACUUCGGUCAGGGAUGAGCGCGCGGCCUAUCAGCUUGUUGGUGAGGUAACGGCUCACCAAGGCGUCGACGGGUAGCCGGCCUGAGAGGGUGACCGGCCACACUGGGACUGAGACACGGCCCAGACUCCUACGGGAGGCAGCAGUGGGGAAUAUUGCACAAUGGGCGAAAGCCUGAUGCAGCAACGCCGCGUGAGGGACGACGGCCUUCGGGUUGUAAACCUCUUUUAGCAGGGAAGAAGCGAAAGUGACGGUACCUGCAGAAAAAGCGCCGGCUAACUACGUG
rnacentral:rRNA from 1 species